GACGAACGCUGGCGGCGUGCUUAACACAUGCAAGUCGAACGGAAAGGCCCUGCUUUUGUGGGGUGCUCGAGUGGCGAACGGGUGAGUAACACGUGAGUAACCUGCCCUUGACUUUGGGAUAACUUCAGGAAACUGGGGCUAAUACCGGAUAGGAUCUCCUGCUGCAUGGUGGGGGUUGGAAAGUUUCGGCGGUUGGGGAUGGACUCGCGGGUUAUCAGCUUGUUGGUGGGGUAGUGGCUUACCAAGGCUUUGACGGGUAGCCGGCCUGAGAGGGUGGCCGGCCACAUUGGGACUGAGAGAGGGCGCAGACUGGAAUGGGAGGCAGCAGUGGGGGAUAUUAUACAGUGGGAGGGAGCCUGAGGCAACGGCGCCGCGGGUGGAAAGACGGUUUGCGGGUUGUAAACCGCUGCCGCUUGUGACGAAGCGUGAGUGACGGUAACGGGAGAAGAAGCACCGGCUAACUACGUG
rnacentral:rRNA from 1 species